GACGAACGCUGGCGGCGUGCUUAACACAUGCAAGUCGAACGGAAAGGCCCUGCUUUUGUGGGGUGCUCGAGUGGCGAACGGGUGAGUAACACGUGAGUAACCUGCCCUUGACUUUGGGAUAACUUCAGGAAACUGGGGCUAAUACCGGAUAGGAGCUCCUGCUGCAUGGUGGGGGUUGGAAAGUUUCGGCGGUUGGGGAUGGACUCGCGGCUUAUCAGCUUGUUGGUGGGGUAGUGGCUUACCAAGGCUUUGACGGGUAGCCGGCCUGAGAGGGUGACCGGCCUCAUUGGUAAGGGAAUACGGCCGGGACUCCCACGGGGGGCAGGCGGGGGGAAUAUUGCACAAGGGGCGAAAGACUGAGGGAGCAACCCCGGGUGGGGGAUGGAGGCCUUCGGGUUGGAAACCGCUUUCGCCUGUGAGGAAGGGUGAGGACAGGAAAUGGGGAAAAAAGCACCGGCAAACUAGGG
rnacentral:rRNA from 1 species